rnacentral:rRNA from 1 species
UACGGGGGGGGCAAGCGUUGUUCGGAAUUACUGGGCGUAAAGGGCUCGUAGGUGGCCAACUAAGUCAGACGUGAAAUCCCUCGGCUUAACCGGGGAACUGCGUCCGAUACUGGCAGGCUUGAAUUCGGGAGAGGGAUGUGGAAUUCCAGGUGUAGCGGUGAAAUGCGUAGAUAUCUGGAGGAACACCGGUGGCGAAGGCGGCAUCCUGGACCUGACCUGACGCUGAGGCGCGAAGGCGUGGGGAGCGAACGGG